UGGGGAAUAUUGCACAAUGGGCGCAAGCCUGAUGCAGCCAUGCCGCGUGUAUGAAGAAGGCCUUCGGGUUGUAAAGUACUUUCAGUCGGGAGGAAGGUGUCAAGGUUAAUAACCUUGGCAAUUGACGUUACCGACAGAAGAAGCACCGGCUAACUCCGUGCCAGCAGCCGCGGUAAUACGGAGGGUGCAAGCGUUAAUCGGAAUUACUGGGCGUAAAGCGCACGCAGGCGGUUGAUUGAGUCAGAUGUGAAAUCCCCGGGCUUAACCCGGGAAUUGCAUCUGAUACUGGUCAGCUAGAGUCUUGUAGAGGGGGGUAGAAUUCCAUGUGUAGCGGUGAAAUGCGUAGAGAUGUGGAGGAAUACCGGUGGCGAAGGCAGCCCCCUGGACAAAGACUGACGCUCAGGUGCGAAAGCGUGGGGAGCAAACAGG
rnacentral:rRNA from 1 species